rnacentral:rRNA from 1 species
AUUGAACGCUGGCGGCAGGCCUAACACAUGCAAGUCGAGCGGUAGAGAGGUGCUUGCAUCUCUUGAGAGCGGCGGACGGGUGAGUAAUGCCUAGGAAUCUGCCUAGUGGUGGGGGAUAACGUUCGGAAACGGACGCUAAUACCGCAUACGUCCUACGGGAGAAAGCGGGGGAUCUUCGGACCUCGCGCCAUUAGAUGAGCCUAGGUCGGAUUAGCUAGUUGGUGAGGUAAUGGCUCACCAAGGCGACGAUCCGUAACUGGUCUGAGAGGAUGAUCAGCCACACUGGAACUGAGACACGGUCCAGACUCCUACGGGAGGCAGCAGUGGGGAAUAUUGGACAAUGGGCGAAAGCCUGAUCCAGCCAUGCCGCGUGUGUGAAGAAGGUCUUCGGAUUGUAAAGCACUUUAAGUUGGGAGGAAGGGUCGUAACCUAAUACGUUACGGCUUUGACGUUACCGACAGAAUAAGCACCGGCUAACUUCGUGCCAGCCGCCGCAGUAAGAC